UCUGCCUGUCAGGAAGAAGUGAACAAUAUGACCUUUAGUCGCAGCGAUAACAUUCUCCCUCGUGAAUUCCCCGCCGCUCCGGCUUUCCUUUCACAUUCUCACCGGUUUGUUUUCGCUCCCGGCGCCUCUGUUUUUCUAAGAAAUGAUCAUCUCGGCACCCGGUGAUUAACGAGCAGCACCGGGGGGGGCAGGGAGGAAGUCGGGCCUCCACGGGGUCAAACGCAGACAGACACUCCGACUAAGAGUCUCAUCAGUGUUCGUCAGUGUGGACAGUGAAGAGCUGCACGUUCAUGUUUUAAUUCCCUGCUGGGUGGAAAAUGAGAUGGAGAGGCGGAGAGGGCUCGAGCAAGAAUCAAGUCAUGACUUCUGUUAAAUUCAUGGUUCCAUUAAUAUUUUGUCCAGACACAGAGAAGAAGAAGAAGAAGAAGAUGAUGACAUCAUCUAGUGUGCAGCAGACCAGCCCAGUGAAAAACAGCCUCAGAUUCGACUUGAAGGGCCGGUGUUCAUGUGACGUGGACGAGGACAAAAACAGAAACAGAAGUGUUUUUUUUGUUUUUUUUCCCUUUGACAUCCUGGGAGGAGGCGAGGACACCGAGCUGAGAGCAAAAAAAACAAAACAAAAAAAAACACGUUUUUUUCACCAGGACGGCAGCAGAUGGAGAAAAGUCUGGCAGAGAUCUUAGUCAAUGUGGAUUUGUUUUUACGAGUCUCCGAUAUCACAGGAGGGCAGAAUCACAGCUGUAAAUCUGAAACGUCUAAAUCCAGGGAUUAAAAAAAAAGCACUGAGGUGUAAAUCCAUCAGUGGAAAUCCAUGAAGUUUAAUGAUUGUUCAUAAAUCUGACAUGAAAACCGAGAACAAAAGGAAUAAAAGCCUCACGACUGGAGCGAUGAAUUGAAACACACACUUAUUUAUAACAGCUGAUUUACUGACGGGAGGCUGCUGCUGUGCAGGAGGAGGAUCUGGCGCCACCUCCUGUGUCGGGCUUUUAUUUUGAAAUUAAGCAAACAACUCGAUAAUCAAUAACUGCUUGAAUUUAAAGAGUUAAUGUGUUUUUUAUUACCAGUGGGAAAAACUAAGCAUUAUCUUUAUUUAUCACAUCUGUAAUAAGUAAUCAUUAUAAAUAGGGACAAAAUAGACUAUAAUUUCAUUAAAUAUAUAUUAAUUAACUUUUUAAAUAGAUGUGUUAUGUUGCUGUAUAAGUAUAUUUAGCUUUUACAAGUUAAAACACAUAUUUAUAAUGGUAUUACUAUAUUUAAAGUGGUAACUGUAUCUAACAACAUUUUAACUAUGAUUUAGUAGCUUCAUAAAAGUGGUUUUGAUUAAUAAGUUCAAUUAAUUUGAUCAUUUAGUAGCUAAUUAUCAUAGUUAAUAACCCACUAAACUAUAAUCUGAUAAUCUGUCAUUAUAAAUAGAUAUAAUAUACUAUAGAUAUCAAUUAGUUCUAAUAACUUUUGUAAUUAAUUUGUUGUAUUUAGGUUUAUUUAAUAACUUGAUACCUUGUUAAAGGAAACCUAUACUGGUGAUUUUAACUGAUAAUUUUACGCAUAGUCAUAAUUAAUAACUAUGAUUUUACCAAUACAUUUUAAAAAGUGACAUAAAUGUAAGUAUUAAUAACUUAUUUGACAUUUUAUAGCUCCUCCUAUAGCUUCAGCUUUGAAACAACUUGAUUAUUGAUAAUUAGUUUUAAAUUUAUGAUGAUAACUUUAACUGCUAACUGGCUAAAUAUGACUCAGUGGUUUUAUUUUAAAAAGAUAUAUAAUAAUAUAAUAUAUUUGAUCCCUGUGGUAACUAAUUCUCAUAACUAAUAACUUAAAUCACGACUGAUUAACUCAUAAUCACACCAGUAAUCAUAAAUAGUGACAUAAACUGAAUCAAUAACGGGUUUUUUGUCAUUAUUAAAAACUAAAGUUACAUCAUCUGUAAUGAAAACAUCACUAAUGUAACUUAAAAUGAAUAAUGUACUUUAAAAUCAAGUUACAAUAACUGAUACAAUAACUAAUAUUAAUGAAAAGUGACACCAUAAACUAUAAUUUUAUCACUUAUUAUUAUUGAUUUAUGAAUAAUUACUGCUUUUAAAUGGAAUCACUGUGUCUGUAAUAUUUGGAAUAAUGUUCAUUGUCAAGUUAAAAUUUGAUUUUCUUUUUUAAUUUUAUUAAAAUAUUGACUUAUUGACUUAAAAAUGCUCAGUGUAUAAAGAUAUCAUGUUAAAAUAUUACUCUGGUAAAUGUGAAAGUCACACACACGUUUACUGUGUCGACCAGAUAUUCAGUAUUUUUCUUACUAUCAGUGUUUUUUUUCUAGUUAUUUUUAAAUUGUCGAUAAAAUAACUUAUUUUGAAAGUUCUUGGUUCUUUGACUCUGCAAAGUAACUAAUAACUAAAGUUGUCAAAUAAAUGUAGUUUAGUGUUCUUUGUGACCACUAACUGUUGAACAAACAGUGAAAUAAACACUGUAUAAUCAGCUUUU